rnacentral:rRNA from 1 species
AAACGUUUGACACCAGUUAUGCGGGUGGAAAAUCAGUCUUUUGCAGUGGGGAGUUGUGGGCGUUCAGACCGCAAGGCUGGCGUUUGCUUCAUCUUUGUUGUAAGUGAUGCACUUUUUCAUUUGCAGGUCAACAUCAGUUUGCUUUGCUGGACAAAACCCCAAGGGAAGGUGGCAGCUUAGGCUGUGUUAUAGCCCUGGGG